UUUCUCACAGAAAAACCUUACUGACUGUUUAACCUUUUCUCUUUGCAGAUCAAAUACACCAACAUCCUACGGAUGAUGGAGAGGGUUGUGCUGCAAUUUACCAAACUUUACAUGAAGUCAUUUUAAAGAAAUCAGGAUACAGACCAGUAAGUGCAGAACAUGUACAUGAGUUUGAUAGAUACAUAAAUCAGUUUCCACACCCACCACCACGGGACAUUGAUCAUGACAACAGUGGAACACUAUUAUGGACAGAACCUGAUAUCUCUACAUUCAUACGGGGUCUUGCAGGAUGGAGUGAUAUUCCUGAACAAGAUAUAUCCCGUUACAUAAAUAUUUUUCAACAUUACCCUCAUAGUGAUCUAACAAAAAUGUACAACCACAUUAUGAGAGAACUAGGUCGUAGUCCCACAGUCCGAGAGUUGGGCCGAUUGUUACCAAUUCUUGAAGGUAAUGAAGCUUAUGAGUCCUCCCGUAAAACACCAGGACAGUUUCUCAUUGAGUUGGAAGAGUCUAAACGAAAUUUACAGUUAGAGAGAUCCCAAAAGAAUUUGUUGAAGAGUGAGCUUCUUUCGAUGCAUGUUGAUCUGAAUGACUUAGAGAGAAAGAAUAGAAUGCUAAAAAUUUGUUUGUGCUUGGGUUUGUGUUUAAUGUGUUUGAUUGUUUUAGUCUUACAAUAACAUUGUGAAAGACAUUAAAACAUAAGAUCCAGACAGAUCUAUCAUUGCACACAUGUUUAAAUUCCGAUUUACUAACUACUCGCCAUUUUUUCAUUUUAUAGAAAGAAGUUUAUUUUUUAAUUUUCUUCUAAUAUGUUUAAUAUACUGUACCCCUUUUAUUCUUCUUUAAGAUCCAGUAUACAUUAACAUUCCACAUACAUUUUAGAACUUCUAAUAUCCCAGUCAUUUUAGCUCACCUGAGUUGAAAGCUCAAGUGAACUUUUUCUGAUCACAUUUUAUCUGUAGUCUGUCUGUCUGUCCGUCUGUAAAUUUUCAAAUUUUCGACUUCUUCUCCAGGACCACUGGGCCAAUUUCAACCAACUUGCCACAAAGCAUCCUUGGGUAAAGGGGAUUCAAUUUUGUUCAAAUGAAGGGGCACGCCCUCAUUCAAGGGGAGAUAAUUCAGUAAUAGGGAAAAUUUGGUGACAUGUUUUAAAAAUCUUCCUCUCAAGAACCACCGGACCAAAAAAGUUGAAACUUAUAAAAAACUUUCUUUACAUAGUGUAAAUUUAAGUGUGUUCAAAUGAUGACCCCCUGGGAUAGGGUGGGGCCACAAUGGCGGAUCAAAGUUUUACAUAGGAAUUUAUAGGAAAAAAACUUUAAAAAUCAAAGCCAUGAUUAGUCAUAUUGAUAUGGAAGCAUCCUAUAUUCAUAUUGAUAUGGAAGGUAGUGAAAAUUCAAGUUUGUUCAAAUGAUGACCCCCGGGGGUAAGGUGGGGCCACAAUGGGGAUCCUUUUAGAAAGGAAUAUAUAGGAAAAAAUCUUUAAGAAUCUUAUUCUCAAGAACAGCUUCUUCUCAAGAACAGCAAAGCCAUGUAUAGUCUUAUUCAUAUGGAAGGAUCCUCAGUUAGUUUAAAAUUCAACAUCCCCAUCCUUAUGUAAACUUUUCAAUACUGAACUGAUUUGUGCUUUUUCCUAGUCAAUGUGCUCAGGUGAGCGAUGGCCCAUAGGCCUCUUGUAAUAUUAAUAGUUUUCAAAUUUCCUCAUGCUUCCUUCGUGAAAAUGUAGAACAAGAGUUGUGAUUUGUUCAUAAGAAUUGGAAACUUUCUUAUUUUAUUCAUUGAAAUCGUUGUUGAUCUUUUAAACUCAUAUUUAAGAUUAAGAAUACAUUUGUAUUAUAUGUUUAGAGAAAGGGAAAAGAUGUAUUUUUCAGAUUAAAUGUUGAGUUAUUUUUAUGAAUACAUGUUUUGCUAGACAGGGUAUUUUAUGUUUGUCGUGAUGAUGAAAUUUUAUUAAUUUGAUCAGAUUGAUUUUUGAGGGCAAUGACAGUAAAUAUUUAAGUUUUGUUUUGUCGUUAUGAAGUAUUUUAUCAGUUAGUGAUGUCAUUCUGAAGAAUAUAUAAUGAAUGAUGAAAGUGUGAUCUAUUCUUACAAAUGUAUUUAUGAUAUUUGUCAACUGGUGAACACCGUAGUGCCUUUUUAUGAAGGCAAAUGGAAUAUCUUAAUAUUAUAUUGGUGCAAUAUAUUUAACAGAUAAACUUUAUUGAAAUAAAAAGAUCAGUAAAAAAAAGAUCGUGAUUUCCAUGUGCAUUUAUUUGAAAGAAAAAAAAAUUCUGAGACUUAUACAUAAGCAGUAGAGUCCCUUUCCGAUAUGGGCCGUAAUUUCGCUGAAACUCAUUGAAGCUGAACGAAAUGCGAA